rnacentral:rRNA from 1 species
CCCUUAGAUGCUCUGGGCCGCACGCGCGCUACACUGGUCGAUGCAACGAGUUUCUUUCCUUGGCCGACAGGCCUGGGCAAUCUUUGAACAUCGAUCGUGAUCGGGAUGGAUUCUUGUAAUUUUUGAUCUUAAACGAGGAAUUCCUAGUAAACGCAAGUCAUCAGCUUGCAUUGAUUACGUCCCUGCCCUUUGUACACACCGCCCGUCGCACCUACCGAUUGAAUGGUCCGGUGAAAUCUCCGGACUGGCGUGAGUCGGAGCAAUCUGACAAACACCGGAAAGUUGAUUAAACCUUACCAUUUAGAGGAAGGUGAAGUCGUAACA